CUCAAGAUUCCCAAUCCCAAUCCCAAUCCCUCACAGCUCACACAAUAGCACAUUUUUCAGGGCACCACACUGAAAGGACGUCUGCCCCAGUGCUAUAUCCUUAUGAGUUAGUGUGAACACACUUACACAUCCUCCCACGCUCCCACAGGCCCUGUUAAGCACUGAAAACAACACACAGGCUGAGUGUUCGCCUACUAGGUCCCCACACACUCACUGUGACAAUCAGAUUUCUCCCCAGGCACAACCAACACAUUAGCUAAUUGCCCCAGUAAAUACCUCCCCAUGCUAAUCCAGAAGUAUGAGACACUCCCAUGGUCAAGAAGGCAUUUGACCGACGGGAGUAAGGCACCGUGGUGUGGGGAUAAAGUGUUUAAGUAAACUCGUGCCAGGACGAAAGGGUGGCUGCUAAUCUCUUAUGCAAACAACCCACUUUAGCUUUUGCUCAGACCUUCGUUUGUUUUCUUUUUUUUUUUUUUUUUUUUUUCACCCUGAGGUCACGUUUUUAAAGCCAGGUUACGUGGAAAAGUUGAACUUUUAAAUACUGCAACGACAUUUGAGUGUGGAGGUGGGGCUAGCUGCAUGGUUGCACAGUUGAGAGCCUGGACGGAUCAUAUCUUAAGGGGAGAGGGAAAUCACACCCAGAGGCAAUGUUUAUCAAUCAGUAAUAGUUUGGAAUGACGUCGGAACAGGAAGAGACUGGGAGAACGAACGGCCCAUGAGCUCGUCUGUGUGGGUGGGUACUCCUGGAUGGAUAAAGAGGGAUCUUAUCUUCCCAGAAAGGGAACUACCUGGAGUGUUUCCAGGCCAGGUCGGAGCAUGAUGCAGCUGUUGUCCUGGAUGGCCGUCCCGGAGUGGGGAAUUCUGUGGGAGUGCCCUGACAUGCCACAGCUGUGGGUAGUUUGUUUGGAUUCGUUGGUUUGGUUUGUUUUGUUUGUGUUGUGUUUUUUUUUUUUACCCCUCCCACAUACAGUAUGUUUCCACUGAAUAAUCCACACUGGUUUCUUUAAUCCUUCAUAGUUUAUGAGCUUUAGAUUCUUUACUGUGAUACAUUAUCUCCCGUGUGUUUUCGAGGACCCACCUGAAAUGGCCUUCAAGCCAACAACAUUCCUGUCGGCGUGUAACACAAGCUCGGUUUAUGGGUACACAUUCCACUGAAACCGUCUAUUAUAUCUUACGACUUGUUUGCAGAAACAAAAAAACAAAAUGACAGGAAAAACAGAGCAGAGGAAACGAGUUAAAAGGUGCCAUUUCCCCAGCUAGUGGACCAAAUGCUUUGUGAUCAAUUGGGCAGGAGGUGCAACCUCACUUAACUCUCUCAGAUUUGUGGAAAGACAGAGACUGGUGAAGGCAUAUGAGCCUAGCAACAUAUGUUGAUUUGGAAAACAAACACGAUGAGCAUAAACACACACUAUAAACAUAUGUAAUAACCAGUGAGUUUCAGCAGGUAAGCCCUCAUCCAGGUUAGCUUAGCUAGGAAUACAUACCUCC
ensembl:lncRNA